UAGUGUCUAGCAGAAUAUUAAACAGAAGGAUGAAGAUUUCUGUUUGUUUAGUCGUCUGUCUAUUGUUAAUGUCAGUUGGAGUCAACAUGGCAAAUGAUGAAAUGUUGGAAGACAAUGGACUCAUUCAUGAUCGUAUAAAAAGAGCUCCAUGUUGGCCUAGAAAAUGUUAUACAAUGCUUGACUGCUGUUCUGGCCAUAUAUGCAUAAACAGAAGAUGCAUCGGAAGAAAGGGCUAGUGAGUUUAAAUGUUCAUUUUUUACAAGGAAGCCGAAGAGAUUCAAGAACAAAUAUUGUAACUUUUAACGAAAGAUAAAAGUAAAUAAACAACGAUAAUAAAAAAAUAAAAAUAGUGUUUUUUUUCUGAAUGUUUUUCUUACUCAUCUGCAGUUUUAUCACACGUUUAUGAUUACUAAAGAACAGUUCUACUAAUCUUCAAGGCCAUACUAAGGUUCGUAGCCGAUAACAUGGCUGCAAAAAU